rnacentral:rRNA from 1 species
GACGAACGCUGGCGGCGUGCUUAACACAUGCAAGUCGAACGGAAAGGCCCUGCUUUUGUGGGGUGCUCGAGUGGCGAACGGGUGAGUAACACGUGAGUAACCUGCCCUUGACUUUGGGAUAACUUCAGGAAACUGGGGCUAAUACCGGAUAGGAGCUCCUGCUGCAUGGUGGGGGUUGGAAAGUUUCGGCGGUUGGGGAUGGACUCGCGGCUUAUCAGCUUGUUGGUGGGGUAGUGGCUUACCAAGGCUUUGACGGGUAGCCGGCCUGAGAGGGUGACCGGCCACGUUGGGACUGAGAUACGGCCCAGACUCCUACGGGAGGCAGCAGUGGGGAAUAUUGCACAAUGGGCGGAAGCCUGAUGCAGCAACGCCGCGUGCGGGAUGACGGCCUUCGGGCUGUAAACCGCUUUCGCCUGUGACGAAGCGUGAGUGACGGUAAUGGGUAAAGAAGCACCGGCUAACUACGUG